rnacentral:rRNA from 1 species
UACAGAGGCCUCGAGCGUUAGGCGGAAUCACUGGGCUUAAAGCGUGUGUAGGCGGACUUCUAAGUGCCUUGUGAAAUCCCACGGCUCACCCGUGGAACUGCUGGGCAUACUGGGAGUCUUGAGCCACCUAGGGGCGAGCGGAACAAAUGGUGGAGCGGUGAAAUGCGUAGAUAUCAGGAGGAACACCGGUGGCGAAGGCGGGUCUCUGGGCCAUAACUGACGCUGAGGAGCGAAAGCGUGGGGAGCGAACAGG